UUCCAGCUCUAAUAGCGUAUAUUAACGUUGUUGCAGUUAAAAAGCUCGUAGUUGGAUUUUGGAGUUUGACAAGUGGUCUGCCUAAGGUGUGUACUGCUUGUCGGCUCUUCUUUUCUGGGGACCACGCUGCUCUUUAUUGAGGGGUGCUGGGAAUCAGAUCUUUUACUUUGAAAAAAUUAGAGUGUUCAAAGCAGGCCCACGCAUUGAAUACAUUAGCAUGGAAUAAUGGAAUAGGACUUUGGUCUUAUUUUGUUGGUUUCUAAGGCCGAGGUAAUGAUUAAUAGGGAUAGUUGGGGGCGUUUAUAUUCCAUUGUCAGAGGUGAAAUUCUUGGAUUUAUGGAAGAUAAACUACUGCGAAAGCAUUCGCCAAGGAUGUUUUCAUUA
rnacentral:rRNA from 1 species